UUCUCUUUUCAACUACUGAAGCAAAGAGAUAUUUUAUGUCUACCAAAUUCAUAAAAUCAAUAAUGUUUUACACAAUUCUUUCAAACGGUUAAUUGUUGUGCUAUAUCAAAUUAGUCGGAGAGUUGAAGAUAGAAAAUUUAACCGUGUCAAUAAUUCAUCGUGUUCAAUUUUCAUGCUUUGCCAUUCUUAUCCACUUUAUUACUUCUUUUGAUGUAAUCUGAAUUAUAUUUUUUUUUCAUCUUCAUCAGGCACUUCUCUUUGGAAAGAAGCAUGUUUGGUAUUCAAUCCACCAUUUAAAUGGGAAAGAGGAAGUUCCCCCGUCACAUGGUUAAAGCUGUAGAGGGGGAGUUGAAAGUCAAGAGGAGGGGGAAAACACAUAUUAAGUUUCUGAUUGUUUGAUUUCAGAUGCUGAUUGUCUUUCUCUUUUCCUUUUCCUUUUGUUUAUAAAGAAUCAAAUUGUUUCAGUUGCUAACAGUGUGGAUCAAGUUGUGGUAAAAAGGUCAUCCGCUUAUAUCAUGAUUUAAUAUGUGAACAAUUUAGAUAUUCCGUUAAUUGACAUUUCAAUUGAAUUUUACUUUCAUAUAAUUUGCUUCACAUAAUGUAAAAACUAUUUUAAUGGUUUCAAUAGGAUGAUAUAGAACAACUAUAUUCAUUUUUUAUUUUUUUUUUGCAGCUCAUGAAAUACUUUCUCGAGCCUUGAACCAAUAAAAAAGUGAAACACAGAAGUUCUAUAUUACAUGUUAGUUUUAAUCCAUUACUAAAAAUCUUUUUUUUUUUUUCAGGAAAUAAACUUUAUUAAGAUAAAGAGGACUUAACAAUGACAUGAAAAGCUAAGAAUGAACAGUCGAAUAUUGAGUUGAAUCCACUGCUACCACCCAACAAAUCCAAGUGUUGAAAUUUCAAUUAUUGUUCUUCGAGGAGGCCUUGGACAUUGGUAAAGAACAAAUGGUUGAUUUGCUGAGGAAGUAUGAAUCACUAGAACUAAAGACAUGAGCCUCAGUGUUGUAAUAUAUUGUACAAACAUGUAUCUUUUGUUUUUUUAAUUGAUUAUAAAGAUGUAAAUAUGUUUUGAUAUAGAAGUAAAUAUAUUUUAUACGUUUAACAUGGUUUUAGACCCGCGGCAUCGCGCGGGCUAAGUUGCUUGUAAAGAACUAAAACACUGUUGGUGCCACGUGGUCGA